UGGGGAAUUUUGGACAAUGGGCGAAAGCCUGAUCCAGCAAUGCCGCGUGUGUGAAGAAGGCCUUCGGGUUGUAAAGCACUUUUGUCCGGAAAGAAAUCCUUGGCUCUAAUACAGUCGGGGGAUGACGGUACCGGAAGAAUAAGCACCGGCUAACUACGUGCCAGCAGCCGCGGUAAUACGUAGGGUGCAAGCGUUAAUCGGAAUUACUGGGCGUAAAGCGUGCGCAGGCGGUUUGCUAAGACCGAUGUGAAAUCCCCGGGCUCAACCUGGGAACUGCAUUGGUGACUGGCAGGCUAGAGUAUGGCAGAGGGGGUAGAAUUCCACGUGUAGCAGUGAAAUGCGUAGAGAUGUGGAGGAAUACCGAUGGCGAAGGCAGCCCCUGGGCAAUACUGACGCUCAUGCACGAAAGCGUGGGGAGCAAACAGGAUUAGAUACCCUGGUAGUCCACGCCCUAAACGAUGUCAACUAGUUGUUGGGGAUUCAUUCCUUAGUAACGUAGCUAACGCGUGAAGUUGACCGCCUGGGGAGUACGGUCGCAAGAUUAAAACUUAAAGGAAUUGACGGGGUCAUAGCUGUUUCCU
rnacentral:rRNA from 1 species